GGGAGCUUGGAUGUGGAAGCUCUUUGGAAACCAAGAAACACUCUGCAAAUGAAAAGGGUGGAAGAGUAAACUGUUCCCGUUUCUCCAAAUUGACAGGAAGCAGAAGUUCUCCUUAGCUGAUUUUUCUUCUUGCCUUAUACUGGGUUCUUUAACACCAGAACAAAAAUAAAUAAAUAAAAGAAUCUUCCAGAAAUUCAUGAAGAGACUUCAGGUCAGGAAAGCCUGAACUUUCUCAUCUAACACCUGUUCAAGUCGGAGGAUGCUGAUUAAUUCAUGAUGGAAAGGUAUCAAUUUCACAGCCCAGACUUCUACAUUCUUGAAAUGCUGUUCUCAUGGGAGACAUUAAAUAAGCUUUGAAAUAACUGAAUGUACAGGGUGUACCAUGAACAAUUCUGACAUAUGAUUUAAUCUAUGUGUGACUACAUUUUAAAUACAUCUGGGAAGGAUUGAACAAUGAAGUGGAGCCCAUCAAUAUUGGUACUGAAAACGAGACAUGCCAUGACACCCAGGAUGCAGCUGUAGGAACACCACUGGGUCCCUGGAUAUCAUGUAAGCCCUUAAGUAAAGGUGCCAUCAAAUGAUUUCUCAGAAAUUAUAAAGAAACAAAAGGACCAUAAACAAGAUAAGGUGGCACGAGGAAACACUAAAAGUACCUUUCAGAGCUGACUGGCAAAGAAACUCCUGAGGUGAUGGUUCUACCCCAAUAUUACUUCUUCCAAGAGCAACCUAACUGGACUUAUCUUCCUCAGUUCCCUGUGGGGAACUUUUGUAGAGCCACACGAAAGGAGGUUUUUAGCUCUCACCUAUGGUCUUCAUCAUGCACCUCCUAGAUUCAAAAGUUCAGCAGGGGCAUGUCAAGCUAUA
rnacentral:antisense_RNA from 1 species